rnacentral:rRNA from 1 species
UAAGGAAUAUUGGUCAAUGGACGCAAGUCUGAACCAGCCAUGCCGCGUUGAGGAUUAAGGCCCUCUGGGUUGUAAACUCCUUUUAUCUGGGAAGAAAUGUACUUUUUCUUGAGUACUUGACGGUACCAGAGGAAUAAGCACCGGCUAACUCCGUGCCAGCAGCCGCGGUAAUACGGAGGGUGCAAGCGUUAUCCGGAUUCACUGGGUUUAAAGGGUGCGUAGGUGGGCAGGUAAGUCAGUGGUGAAAUCUCCGGGCUUAACCCGGAAACUGCCGUUGAUACUGUUUGUCUUGAAUAUUGUGGAGGUAAGCGGAAUAUGUCAUGUAGCGGUGAAAUGCUUAGAUAUGACAUAGAACACCAAUUGCGAAGGCAGCUUACUACACAAUCAUUGACGCUGAGGCACGAAAGCGUGGGGAUCAAACA